rnacentral:rRNA from 1 species
ACGAACGCUGGCGGCGUGCUUAACACAUGCCCGUCGAACGGUGAAGCGCCUUCCUUUUUGGUGGGUGUGGAUGAGUGGCGAACGGGUGAGUAACACGUGAGUAACCUGCCCCCUUCUUCUGGAUAACCGCAUGAAAGUGUGGCUAAUACGGGAUAUUCUGGGUCUGUCGCAUGAUGGGUCUGGGAAAGAUAUUGUUUCGGUGGGGGAUGGGCUCGCGGCCUAUCAGCUUGUUGGUGGGGUGAUGGCCUACCAAGGCGGUGACGGGUAGCCGGCCUGAGAGGGUGGACGGUCACACUGGGACUGAGACACGGCCCAGACUCCUACGGGAGGCAGCAGUGGGGAAUAUUGCACAAUGGGCGCAAGCCUGAUGCAGCGACGCCGCGUGAGGGAUGGAGGCCUUCGGGUUGUGAACCUCUUUCGCCAGUGAAGCAGGCCUGCCUCGUUUGUGGGUGGGUUGACGGUAGCUGGAGAAGAAGCGCCGGCUAACUACGUG